rnacentral:lncRNA from 1 species
GAGAAAUACAGACAUUUAGCGAUAUAAGUGCCACGCUCAAAGGUACUGGUGUUGUGUGGGCACAUAUUUGGGCAGGAAUGUAGAUCCUCUUAUCCUACUACUAUAUGGGCAUCUGAUACAUAGAUGCACCCAGCCAGAGAGUGCUAACCCUGUGCCCUACUGCAGGAGGGGUCUCAGCAAGCAUCUGUUCUUGUCGCAGGUAAGGACUCUGAGACCUGGAAAGGGUUACAUCAUUUACGUAGUUUAACACAGACAGUAAAAUUUAAUUGGGGAUCAAAAAAAAAGUUCUAAAUGUUUACUUUAUGGAGUAUUGUUCCUUAAAAAAUUUGGAUUUUUAUGCUUUCUUACAACAUUAAAGUACAUUCACCACUUUUUCUUGUUUUCUCAGAAUCUGCGACAUGGAUAAAAUUCUAUCUCUGCAUCUUACAGGUAUUAAAAUCCAGUUCCCUGCGUGCAUGCUCCAGUUUAAGUGGAUGGCUGAUUCUAUCCCGUCAUCCUGAACUUUGUAGCUUCCUUUAAGAGAUGAUAAAUUAGGGAACAAAAGGAUCUUCCUUUCCGUGACAGCAGCACUUUCGGGAGGCUGAGCAUGUACCUCUGACUCAAGGCUGAGUUAUUAUAAGAAAAACAGAAAAGGAAGGAAGAAGGUUUUAAUUUCCCACUGUUGAAGACAGUUUGUCAGGAUGAGAGACAGACAGACAGAGCGUGCACAGACCUGCACUUCUCUUCGGGGAUGAAUAGGGCAAGUGUUUCAUUCAUGACGUCUUCAAAGCGUUGCCCGGAAUGCAAAAUGACAUGGUUUUUCUGGAAUACUAGUCUGUUUGAA